rnacentral:rRNA from 1 species
AGNNNNANNNUAGAGUUUGAUCAUGGCUCAGAUUGAACGCUGGCGGCAGGCCUAACACAUGCAAGUCGAGCGGUAGAGAGAAGCUUGCUUCUCUUGAGAGCGGCGGACGGGUGAGUAAUGCCUAGGAAUCUGCCUAGUGGUGGGGGAUAACGUUCGGAAACGGACGCUAAUACCGCAUACGUCCUACGGGAGAAAGCGGGGGACCUUCGGGCCUCGCGCCAUUAGAUGAGCCUAGGUCGGAUUAGCUAGUUGGUGAGGUAAUGGCUCACCAAGGCGACGAUCCGUAACUGGUCUGAGAGGAUGAUCAGUCACACUGGAACUGAGACACGGUCCAGACUCCUACGGGAGGCAGCAGUGGGGAAUAUUGGACAAUGGGCGAAAGCCUGAUCCAGCCAUGCCGCGUGUGUGAAGAAGGUCUUCGGAUUGUAAAGCACUUUAAGUUGGGAGGAAGGGUAGUAACUUAAUACGUUGCUACUUUGACGUUACCGACAGAAUAAGCACCGGCUAACCUCGUGCCAGCAGCCGCGGUAAUACGAAGGGUGCAAGCGUUAAUCGGAAUUACUGGGCGUAAAGCGCGCGUAGGUGGUUCAGUAAGUUGGAUGUGAAAUCCCCGGGCUCAACCUGGGAACUGCAUCCAAAACUGCUGAGCUAGAGUACGGUAGAGGGUAGUGGAAUUUCCUGUGUAGCGGUGAAAUGCGUAGAUAUAGGAAGGAACACCAGUGGCGAAGGCGACUACCUGGACUGGUACUGACACUGAGGUGCGAAAGCGUGGGGAGCAAACAGGAUUAGAUACCCUGGUAGUCCACGCCGUAAACGAUGUCAACUAGCCGUUGGGAGUCUUGAACUCUUAGUGGCGCAGCUAACGCAUUAAGUUGACCGCCUGGGGAGUACGGCCGCAAGGUUAAACUCAAAUGAAUUGACGGGGGCUCGCACAAGCGGUGGAGCAUGUGGUUAUAA